UACGUAGGUGGCAAGCGUUGUCCGGAUUUACUGGGCGUAAAGAGUAUGUAGGCGGAUAUUUAAGUCAGAUGUGAAAUUCCCGGGCUUAACCUGGGAGCUGCAUUUGAUACUGGAUAUCUAGAGUGCAGGAGAGGAAAGUGGAAUUCCUAGUGUAGCGGUGAAAUGCGUAGAGAUUAGGAAGAACACCAGUGGCGAAGGCGACUCUCUGGACUGUAACUGACGCUGAGAUACGAAAGCGUGGGGAGCAAACAGG
rnacentral:rRNA from 1 species